rnacentral:rRNA from 1 species
AGCGAACGCUGGCGGCAGGCCUAACACAUGCAAGUCGAACGGCUCUUCGGAGCAGUGGCGGACGGGUGAGUAACGCGUGGGAACGUGCCCUUUGGUUCGGAACAACACAGGGAAACUUGUGCUAAUACCGGAUGAGCCCUUCGGGGGAAAGAUUUAUCGCCAUUGGAGCGGCCCGCGUUGGAUUAGGUAGCUGGUGGGGUAAAGGCCUACCAAGCCUACGAUCCAUAGCUGGUCUGAGAGGAUGAUCAGCCACACUGGGACUGAGACACGGCCCAGACUCCUACGGGAGGCAGCAGUGGGGAAUCUUGCGCAAUGGGCGAAAGCCUGACGCAGCCAUGCCGCGUGUAUGAUGAAGGUCUUAGGAUUGUAAAAUACUUUCACCGGGGAAGAUAAUGACGGUACCCGGAGAAGAAGCCCCGGCUAACUUCGUGCCAGCCGCCGCAGUAAGAC